rnacentral:rRNA from 1 species
GCUUAACGCGAAGAACCUUACCCAGGCUUGACAUGUACGAGAAAGCCUCUGGAAACAGGGGUCCCUCUUCGGAGCUCGUGCACAGGUGCUGCAUGGCUGUCGUCAGCUCGUGUCGUGAGAUGUUGGGUUAAGUCCCGCAACGAGCGCAACCCUUGCCCUUAGUUACCAGCGAGUAAAGUCGGGGACUCUAGGGGGACUGCCGGUGCCAAGCCGGAGGAAGGUGGGGAUGACGUCAAGUCAUCAUGGUCCUUACGUCUGGGGCUACACACGUGCUACAAUGGCCGGUACAGAGGGCUGCGAAAGCGCAAGCUGGAGCCAAUCCCUAAAGCCGGCCUCAGUUCGGAUUGUCGUCUGCAACUCGACGGCAUGAAGCUGGAAUCGCUAGUAAUCGUGGAUCAGCGACGCCACGGUGAAUACGUUCCCGGGUCUUGUACACACCGGGGUCUUGUACACACCG